GAGCAGUGGCUCUGAGCAGAAGAUGGAGAUGGUCAAGGUAGGGCCCUGGGGCCAGACACCCAAGGCCCCACAUCGAGGGUUGCAAUCUUGUCAUCCAUAACUCUUAUAAGAAUGAGCCCUGGCCUGGAAGAGAGGCCAAAUGUCUAAUCAGCAGGCCUGGAACACCGCCGGUGCCAAGAAAGAGCCAAGCAGCCACUCCCUGGGGCUGGCUGCAGAUGAGGCCCUUGUGGUUUCCCCACUCACUGACUACGGGGAGGAGGGUGUGCAAGGACUUUGUCUGGGAAGAAUCUUUGCAUCUGUAGCUCAACAGGCUUCUCUCUCCAGGCCCCUGGGUUUCAAAAGACUGUGACUUCCACCUUGGUUUGCUCGGUCUGAUGAAGGAACUUUGAGCUGUGAGCUGCACUGUGAACUUUGCUGUGAGCUGCCCUGUGAUGGGAGAGGAGGCCUCCGCCUCACAGCCCUGGAGGACCUCAAUGCUGCCAACGUGUGACCAGAUGCAGAUCCUUCUCCAGUCAAGCCUGGACAUGACAUGACAGCAGCCCUGGGGACCUUGAUGCUGUGGCCUGUGCAAGACCCUGAGCCAGCCGCACCCAGAUCCCUCACCCACAGAAACUGCCAGAUUUUAAGUCUUCUGCUUGUAAGCCACUCUUUUUGCCAUAGUUUGUGUGCAGCAAUAGAUAACUGCUCU
rnacentral:lncRNA from 10 species